UACUGACAAAUGAACACCUGGGCGGGAAAAUCCCUAGUCCGUCUCUCCUCACUUCUCUUCUACCUUCGGUUGAAAAAAAUCGUCCGAUUUCCUUCUUUGUCCAGAAAUGGAGAAUGAAAGGCCCGUUGUCUGUCCAGGAAACGAAGAUCUGGCAUCCUACAUAUGGAAAAAGAGGCAGGAAAUGGCCGAUGCCAACGCCAUUUCGGAGAAAAUCGAUUCCACGCUCGGCAAAGCCUACCGCAAUGUCUGCGCCUCCAAAGAUCCCAUCAAAACCCCACAAGAUUUCUCCAAAAUCAAGGGUGUGGGGAAUUGGACUCUGAGGCUUAUGCAGGGUUUCUUCCACAUGCAUUCGGAGGCUUCUGGAUCCAAAGAACUGGCUCCAAAAGGGAAGAAAGCAAAGGGACCAAAACGAUAUUUGCCACAAAAAAAUUCUGUGGCAUAUGCAUUACUAAUUGCUCUUUAUAGGGGGACUGCGAAUGGAGAUGGUUUUAUGCGGAAACAGGAACUUAUUGAUGCCGCUGAAGCUAGUGGUCUUUCACGGGGGCCUAUUGUGCCGGAAAAGGGUAAAGGAAAAGCUGGGCAAUUUGGAAGUUCACCUCGGGAGUGGUACAGUGGAUGGAGUUGCAUGAAGACGCUGGUAACAAAAGGGUUAAUUGUGAAAUCAAGCUGCCCAGCAAAGUACAUGCUAACUCAAGAAGGGCAAGAAGCAGCUCGAGAAUGCCUCUUGCGCUCUGGUUUAGUCGAUUCUAUUGAACAUUCAACCACAGCAAAUGGACUUCUAAGUUUUGUAACUUCACAAACUGCAUCUGAUUUGGGGUCUGUUCACCAGAAUUCUGUUAACAAAGAAGCGGCAUUGCCAUCUAUUAAUUUGUGUAGUCAAAAGAAAUCAACUGAUAUUCCUGCUGAAUUUCUUGAAAGGCUUUCAAAUAUGGGAUAUUCUAAGGAGCAAAUUCAUCUUGCUUUUGCAAAAGUUUUGAAAGAUUCACAGACUAAGGAGUCUUCUUCCCUUUGGUUUGCCAUUUUGUUUCAUCUCCGAUUAAAUCUAGUUGAAUCGUUACAUUCAGAUUCAGAGCAAAAUACUGGAAAGGAGUGUCCUGUGUUACCAACCACCCGCAUCUCUGCAGACAUUGGUCAAGUAGAUGUUGCUACGGAAGGGAAUGAUAGGAUAACAUUUACUUCUGGUGGUGCACAGCAUGGUCUAGAGUCUUUACGUCGUACUCAUUCAGCACUUGGGUCUCUCAACUUGCACGCUUGCACAUCAUCUGAUUAUCCCAUGCAAAAGUCACUGGAUUCUAAUGGUCCAGAAACCAAUAUGUGUGCCUUAGCAAUGCCACCUCUCAGAUUUGGCGAGAAAUUCGAGGAUGUGUAUGAUGUGAUCUUGAUAUUGGAUGAUCGGGAGAAAUUUGCUAAGAAUAAUCGUGGGUCCCGCUCUAGAAAAGUAAUUGAAAAUACAUGCAUCGAAUUCAAAAUAGAAGCAGAGGUCAGGCGCCUACCUGUUGGUGAUGGAAUCUGGAUAGCUCGGCAUAAACAUCUUGAUAAUGAAUACGUGCUUGAUUUUAUUGUUGAAAGGAAGGAAGUUGAUGAUUUGGGCAGUUCAAUCAGGGACAGCCGCUAUAGAGAUCAGAAACUGAGGCUCCUGAGGUGUGGACUUCAGAAGCUAAUAUAUCUGGUGGAAGGGGACCCAAAUUCUUGUGAAGCAGCCGAAAGCAUCAAGACAGCUUGUUUCACAACAGAGAUUCUAGAAGGGUUUGAUGUACACAGAACAAGUGGCUUGAAUGAUACACUGAGGAAAUAUGGCUAUCUUACGCAAGCGAUAAGCAAUUAUUACAAAAUGCAAUUUUCCAAUGACGUCAAGAAAUGCAAUACAAUAUGCCCUUCCUUUCAUGAAUUCAUUAAGAAGUGUCAAGAUCUUGACAAAAUGACCAUCAGCGAUGUAUUUGCUAUACAGCUCAUGCAGGUUCCGCAGGUAACAGAGGAGAUUGCACUCGCUGUUCUAGAUCUGUACCCAACAAUUCUCUCACUUGCUCGUGCAUAUGCUCUUCUUCCAUGGUUACACGAGCAUAUUAUUCUUCCGUCAUGGUUGUCAACGAAGAUGGUGUAUCCACGUAUUUUGAGAUGGGUCGAUAGCAGUUAUCGACAGACGGGCGCACAUAAAAAAUUCUUAAACACUCUUGUCUGCACACAGAUUAUUGAAGAUAUGACCCCUACAAAUGAGGAGAGUCACCUUUUACUUCUCACUGUAAGCACUUUAUAUUUAUGUUUUUGCCCAUUAUGUAAUUACCCCAUAGUUGCACACUUGAGAUAUAUAAGUCUUUGUUGUGAUUGGCAUACAGGAGACAUCAAAUUCAAUUAAAGAGAUGCGUCAGUCGUUAGAACCAUGUCUUGUGAAGAUUGAAGAGAAAAUAGAUGCUUGAAGCUCGAAUAGAUAAAUACGUCAGUGGUUGGAACCCAUACUUUUGAAGAUUGAUGAGAAAAUUGUGACCUCAAAUACAAAUAAAGAAAUUCGUCAGUGGUUGGAACCCAUACUUGUGAGGAUCGAAGAGAAAAUCGGAGGAUUCUUGUGGACCACUUUAUGUCCUUUGAAGUUCAUUAAACUUAUUGAUUGAUCCUAGAGGAUGGCUUGAUGAUGAGGUUAUAGACAAGUAUAGUGAAUUGCUGAAGAGUCGACAAAAUAGAGAUAGACGAGAUUUAUUAAAAUGUCAUUUCCUUAAUACUUGGUUUCAUGCAGGUUUUCAUAUAAAUGUGCAAUGUUCAUACAAAGAUUGAUGUGUUUAACAAGCAUUUUAAUUUGUUCUUGAUUGAACUAUUUCAGCAAUUUAUAUGUUCAAGGAGAAAUGAUAAGGCAAAAAGAAAGAAAAGUGAAGACACGAAUAAUAGUUUUAGUUUUCAAAUUCAACGUGUCUUUGAGACGAUACCUUAUGAUUUGGGGAGUAGAGUUUAAUUGUGUUU